CAGCAGCCACGGGAAUACGUAGGGUGCAAGCGUUAAUCGGAAUUACUGGGCGUAAAGCGUGCGCAGGCGGUCCGCUAAGACAGAUGUGAAAUCCCCGGGCUUAACCUGGGAACUGCAUUUGUGACUGGCGGGCUAGAGUAUGGCAGAGGGGGGUAGAAUUCCAGGUGUAGCGGUGAAAUGCGUAGAGAUCUGGAGGAAUACCGGUGGCGAAGGCGGCCCCCUGGACAAAGACUGACGCUCAGGUGCGAAAGCGUGGGGAGCAAACAGGAUUAGAUACCCCUGUAGUCCCUGUCUCUUAUAC
rnacentral:rRNA from 1 species